GGAAAGCCAAAGAUGAAAAGCUAGUUUUCAGAACUGGAACAGAAAUUAUAGUGGAACCAAGAGCCCCAGCUGAAUCCCAACCCAUGGUCUUUGUCAUGAGGAACCAGAGCUUCGCUGCUUGCCUGGUGAAGGAUUUCUACCCCAAAAGUCUGAGCCUGACUCUGUCCACACCUCAGCCCCGGCUCAUGGAGCCUCUGCAGGCCAUGGCCCCCACCUCCUGGGGAACCUACAGCGCUGUCGGGAUCGGACAGUUCGGCGAGGCGGAUAUGGUGACCUGCUCCGUGCAGCACGGCUCCGUGCAGAUAAACGUGACUGAAGAGCAGGACACAGCCCCAGUAUAUGCCAGUUUAAAAAAUACCUGGGAACAUGUCUUCACCUGUUCGGAGCAAAAUUUCACAGGAGAUCAUGAGCAUGGGAACACCCUGUCUUUUGUCAUUCUGGCGCUCAGAUUCCUGCUUGUGAAAAGCUUCGCACUCAACCUUUUCCUGACAGUCCAGGCCUCGUCUUUCUGAGGUUGCUGGAGCCUCCAGUCUGGUUGAACCUCAUCUGCCUUCUUUUGUUUCCGCUGGCCCUGAAUCAUUUCCCUCCUGAUGUCUGCAACAAAGACCUUUUGCUGAUUUA